CCCUUAGAUGUUCUGGGCCGCACGCGUGCUACACUGAGUGGAUCAGCGGGUCAGGUUGCGCGAAAGCGUUUCCUAAUCUUUAAAUCCGCUCGUGAUGGGGAUUGACGGUUGCAAUUUUCUGUCUUGAACGAGGAAUUCCUAGUAAGCACAAGUCAUCAGCUUGUGUUGAUUACGUCCCUGCCCUUUGUACACACCGCCCGUCGCUCCUACCGAUUGAAUGUUCCGGUGAGCUCUUCGGACUGCGCGGUCUGCAGUUUCUGCGUUCCGUGCGGAAAGUUGCGCAAACCUUAACAUUUAGAGGAAGGAGAAGUCGUAACA
rnacentral:rRNA from 1 species